GGCUGAACCACUUUAGGGAAGAUAAAGCUUUUGCACAAGAGACAGGUCAUCUCCAUGGUUUUUCUUUAAACUGCAGAACAUCCUACUUUGUCUUAUUAUUAGUAACAGGGAGAAAGUGCCGGAGUUCUGGUUUUGUAACUGUGUGCUCUGAGGUGACGAGCUAGAAGACAUACAAGGAGCCUUGGCUCGUCCUUGUGGCAUUUACAGUGAAGGAGAGAGGAAAAGAAAAGCUGCUCCGUGCAUAAUCUGAGCGAUCAAACGCGGCAGCUCUGCACAUCUUUUAUUUAGGGAAUUCCUUUUCAUCUGGGCAGGUGGAUUCAGAGAUUUUGAUCCCCAAGCCACCCGCCCCCAGGAAGCAAAAAGCCAGCUGGCUCCAUCCUGCUUAUUUGUUUAUAACAAAUAAGAGUUUUAAGAGGUCUCUUUAUGCCAACGCAGCACACCGAGGCAGUUUACGGCUGUCCGAAACGUGUCGCUGCGAGCGUAGUAGCCUCCAGCAGGUGAGAAAUCACAAGUGCCAUGUUCUAAUACUGUAUAAUAGAGAUUUUAUGGCCAUGAGUGGAUGUCGGGAAAAUUGCUGGUUCUUCUACUGGCUUCCUGCCCCUGCAAGGAGGCACAUUACGUGCUGGCCUUAAAGCCCUGGCCAAACACGCACUGCCUCACCGCCACCAUGCCCCCAGGUGGUGAUGGAGGAAUAUCAUGUUGGGGAGCAGGGAGCACAUCAUUUAGGGUGCUCAGCACCCAGGAGGGUAAAGAGGCACACCAGUGGGAUGGGAUUGAUCCAUCAGAAAGACCGUGAGGUGCCGAGGCCAUGGCUGGACCUGGUGGCCUUGGGCACAGGAGAGCCGAUCACCGCCAGGAUGAGAGCAUGCAUUCCUCAUCACUCAUCCCCUGCUGAGGUCUAGAGGCAAAAUGCUCACAAUUAUGCGACGGUGAGCAUGUUGUUUCAUUGUCUGGAGGGUUAAAAUUUAUGUUUUCAUAAACAUUCAGGUGAAUUCCUUAAAUUUUUAUUGCUUUGUAAUAUGCUAUGCUCUUGUCUAAGCUUUUUUCCUGGGUCUGGUUGUUUACUUUUCAUUGUAUAAUCUUUAGGAACAUUCAGAAACUCACAGAACACCUUUUUCAAUUAUUUCCCUUAUUUAUUUGCGUUUACUGAGAACUACAUAUUUAUAAAAAAGCUGCAUGUGAGGAUGACACAUUGCUUCUGGACCCAGAAAACUGAAGGCUAAUUAGCUAUUACAUAAAAGAGAAGGGAGAACAGGGAGAGAAAUCGUCGUAUUUUUUGCUCAAUAUAAGGCAAACACGGGGUUAAAACCACUUCAAGCCAGAGCUCUGAUCAGCCAGCUCCUGGAGGUGUGCCCACUGAGGAGGUGUUAAUUUGGGAGGACUGGAGCAUAAAUAGGCAAGCCCAAGCCUAGGAAGGUUUUUUUUCCUCCUUUUGUUGUGCCUUUUUCUUGGCGAGCUGAAGAUAGAAAACUGCGAAUCAAGUCUUGGAGGAUAAACCUGAAGAAAAUGAGCUGUGAUUACAAAUUUGAUGCCCACUGAUGUCUCACCUGCGUGGCAGGUGGCAGUGAUUUCCAUCUUAUGGAAGCUCUUUCACUUGGUGAGGUCUUCUGGAAGAUAGUGCCACGCUGUCGUGCCUGGCUCUUCAAGAAGUUUUUCCUCCCCUCUGUGUGUAUCAGGGCAAGCUGUAAGUGCUGAGCUGUGAGCUGGUUUUUCUGAGACUCGGUGAGCCUCCUGCGAGCAGAGCACAGACAUGAAAGAGGCCCUGACAAAAGAGGAACGCAGCGAACACUGACAGUGGUCCUUUCCAGCUGGGUUUCCAGGGAUCAAACUUGAAUUUCAGCUGACCUUCUAAAUGUGGACUCCCAAAAUAUUUUAAACGGUCAUAUCUGCUUAAGAGCAAUAACUUUCUGCUUGACUGCCUUGCUGUGUGUCAUCCAGGAUAUGGCAUUCACUGAAAAUUGUCACUGGUCAACGAAAAAAGGAACAGGCUGUGCUCUGGGGAUUCCAGCUUUCUACAAUAACCUUUAGUCUCAUCCCUGUUACCAAAUCUAGCAAAGCAUCCUUUCAGACAGCAGCAUCAGCGGGCAGUUGGGAAUUUUCUGUGCUUUGGAUGACAGCAAUCAGGUUACGCACUGAUGUGCAUACCUUUAGCAGCCGUACAGAACGACUUUGUGGCAGGCUUUCUGUAAGAGCAGUUGUGGCGUAGAACAGAAAUCUCUGAAGAAAAUCAUUGCCCAGGUAACUGUGCACUGUAUUUUCUGCUUUGCUUCCAAGCUGCUGUGUAAUGUGCACGGUGACAGCAUGUUUGCUUUGUUUGUUAGAGGAAAUCUUGGUAACUGCCUCAACCGAUAGCUGAAAGCCACAAAUCAGGAAGCCGUAAGUGACAGAAAGCAUUAGUGGCAGUUGUGCACCGAGAGAGAUGAGUCGGGAAGCUGAAUACAGAAAUCGAAUGUAAGCGAUACAGAAGCAAGGCUAGACUAAACUUGUGGGAUGCUAAAGUAUCCCUAAAGACAGCAGAGACGGGACAGCUUCCUUGCAGUUAUACGGACCUCUGGGGAUGCCCACAUGUCACGCAGAUGUACUGGGAUAACCUGCAGAGAAAAUAGAUAAUGUGAUCUGUAAGAGCAUUUUGUUUUCCUUUCUCACAGCCUCACAACAGCGUUGUGAGACCUAUCAGUUCAGCAACAUGCAAUAAUGGUCUUGUUUAUAUUAAAGCAAUUUAUAACUCUCAGUCUACUGAAGAAAUGCAGUUUUGACACAUUUUCUGCCAAGCACUCAAAAGAAUACGCAACAGUUAAAAACACUGCAAAGUGAUGUCUGCCAACAUCAUAUGUUAUGUGAGGGAAGCUUAAUAAACAGAGCUGAACAGAAUAAAAUAAUUCUUACUCUGCUGAAUUAAAAGCAGUAUUGAGGAAUAGUAGUCAGCCUUUGAAAAGACUUUAUGAAUCAUGUAUCUGGAUGUAAUUAAUUGUCAUAGUAGCUUGCAUUUUUUUGCACAAACAAUGAAACUUUCCACAAUACCCCAAUUUUUCCCCAAGCUCAGAUUGAAAGGUCACUGCAAAAAACUGCCUGAACCUUUUGUCCCAUUUACUUACUCAUUUGUGCUGGUGAAACUUGUGUUCAUGAGCAGGAGUGUACUUUUGAAGGACUGCACUUUAGUUUUACUGCUGCAGUGGCAAUAACUAUGGGACUACCCAGAAAGACAAAUAUUUAGUGUAUUCAUUUGUUUUGUCAACAUCUACAAUUUUUCCAGCAAUUUUAUUUCGCAGCAGUGCUGCCCUCUGAAUUAUGGAAAAGUAAUAAUAAUAAUAAAGAACUAGCCAUGCCUGUCAGAGUGCAGAAUUUCCUCCUGACUUGUAAAUUAAAGUGUUUGUUGACCCUAAAUUCAAAACUCACAAUUUCUACCUUUCCUGUCGCCAUCCAUAAGCUUUAAAGUAGCAAAUCUUCCCCUGCACAGGCAUGUGUUGUACAGAUACUGAGUUUUAUGAAGUAACUCGUUAUUCUAGUUGUUGAGAAAUGUAGUAAGUUUGGGUGUUAACUACUAAACUAUUCAUCAGAUUUAAAUCACAGCCUCUAACAUGCAUUGAAUCUGUUAAGCAAAAAAAUAACAAUUAAAAAAAAAAAAUCCAAUCUCACUGUCACACAAUUUGUUCAGCCAAGUGUCCUAUUUUGUGAAACGUUGAUAGAAGGCUGGAGAGAGAAGGGGUUGUGAGCAGAUUAUGAAGCUGCAAAACAAAUUCCUGGUGACAUAUUUACAAAGUAAUGCAAACCACAACAUGCGGCUGAGAAAGCGAGAAAUACUUCUCCUGGCUGUGAAGUCAUCACAAGUUUUAUAACUAGUGAACAACACAAAAAGCAGAAGGCUUAGUUGUUGUAGAGCCAAGGAUAAAUCUGAUAUUGAGAUGAAGAAGUGCUUUUAAGUCAAAAUACUUUGUCCUACUAUUUUAUGUUUUCCCAUCAAAUAACUCACAGAAUCCAAAGGCAUUUGAGAACCUUUUUAACCGUUCCGCUAAUGUGCAAAUUAUGCAUCUCUGCAAGUUCUGCCUAACCACAAGUGAAAACAAUGAUAACUUGUUUGCAGUUUCAGCCCUUCAGCUACUCGGUGUGUUUCUUUAUCAGAAGCUGAACUCCAUAUAUCAUGAGAUGCUGCACACAGAAGAACAGAGAACAAACAAGUCUGUCUCCCCACUGUCUGUCUCCCCCUCUUCAUCUCUCUCAAGCAAGAUGUACUAUAUUAUACCAUAAAUUCACACUUUGUGGGAGAAACACUAGAACCGUUGUAGCAAAAGUUAAGUGGAGGAGUUUUCCUGCUCAUUCAUUUGACCUUAUUCUCAAGUGGUGCACUUCAGCCUUUCUUUGAGGUUCUAGGUUCUGUUCUGAAUCAUUGUACCUACUUUAAACAAACAAACAACAGUAAGUUGUGGUUCUUCUAAACUCUCUCGAUUACAGAAUUUGUAAAGAGUGUCAUUUAGUUUUCAUGUUUCAGCAGUUAUAUUAAUAUCCUGUAACUGAAUGUGAAUGUAAUUGGUAAAUAUUUUUAUUCUUUAUUACACUCAAGUAGGUAGCUUCUUAAUGGAAAAAUAUUUUUAUACAGUCCACAAAUUUUCAAAGAGUUUUAAUAUUUUUGAUUCUUUUAUUAAAAAAUAAAGUGAUAGAAUGAUUUCUGUCCCCAUUUGGCAUCGCCUAUAAGCUUUAUAAUUCAACCUUGUAACAAAACGUACUGUCCUGUCAGACUCAGAACAAAUUGUAGUUCACUCUUCAAGAGCUCAGUAACUUUCUCUGCAGGAAGCCUUAGAUCAGGAGCACGGCUUUUAUCUUGCCAGCUGUUUCAAGUUUUGAGCUUUGCCAGGAGGCUCUGCCCUUUCUGCCACAUUUCAGCAGUAAUUAGUCGGGGUGAGGCAGGACGAUGAUAGCAGCAUGCUGAGGUGGGCAGUGGGUGUCAUCCUGGAAAAUGAGCGUUGCCCUGCGUUUCUCAAGGCUUC